GUAGCGAAGCAGUUGAUGCCCGGCUUCCAGGAAAAUCCUCUAAACGUAUGUAUAUAAGAACCGUACCCCAAACCGACACAGGUGGUCAGGUAGAGAAUACCAAGGCGCUUGAGAGAACUCGGGUGAAGGAACUAGGCAAAAUGGUACCGUAACUUCGGGAGAAGGUACGCCCCUGGUAUGUGAAGCGACUUGCUCGUGGAGCAGAAGGGGGUUGCAGUGACCAGAUGGCUGCGACUGUUUAGCAAAAACACAGCACUCUGCUAACACGAAAGUGGACGUAUAGGGUGUGACGCCUGCCCGGUGCCGGAAGGUUAAUUGAUGGGGUUAGCUUCGGCGAAGCUCUUGAUCGAAGCC
rnacentral:rRNA from 15 species